UUCCGGUUGAUCCUGCCGGACCCUACCGCUAUCGGGAUAGGACUAAGACAUGCGAGUUGAGCGUCUUGAACAAUGUCAAGGCGCAGCGUACGGCUCAGUAACACGUGGCUAACCUACCCUUAGGACAGGGAUAAACCCGGGAAACUGGGGUUAAUAUCUGAUUUGUGAGGAAAUCUGGAAUGAUUCUUCACCAAAAGGAUUUUGAUGACAUGUUCUUCAAAGUCGCCUAAGGAUGGGGCCGCGGUCGAUCAGGUUGUUGGUGAGGUAAUGGCCCACCAAGCCUUUGACCGAUACGGGCCGUGAGAGCGGGAGCCCGGAGAUGGGCACUGAGAUAAGGGCCCAGACCCUAUGGGGUGCAGCAGUCGCGAAACCUCCGCAAUGCGCGAAAGCGUGACGGGGUUAUCCCGAGUGCCGUCCGCUGAGGAUGGCUUUUCUUCAGUGUAAUGAGUUGGAGGAAUAAGGGGAGGGCAAGACUGGUGUCAGCCGCCGCGGUAAUACCAGCUCCUCGAGUGGUAGGGAUGAUUAUUGGGCUUAAAGCGUCCGUAGCUGUCUUGAUAAGUCCCCCGUUAAAUCCAGCGACCUAAUCGCUGGUCUGCGGGGGAUACUGUCAAGCUAGGGGGCGGAAGAGGCCGAUGGUAUUUUUGGGGUAGGGGGUGAAAUCCUAUAAUCCCAAGAGGACCACCAGUGGCGAAGGCGAUCGGCUAGUACGUGCUCGACGGUGAUGGACGAAAGCUGGGGGAGCGAACCGGAUUAGAUACCCGGGUAGUCCCAGCCGUAAACGUUGCGGGUUAGUGUUGGAAUGGUUACGAACCGUUUCAGUGCCGCAGAGAAAUCGUUAAACCCGCGCCUGGGAGUACGGCCGCAAGGCUGAAACUAAGGAAUGCGGGGGAGCACUACAGGCGUGAGCUGCGUCAUGGAUCAACGCCGG
rnacentral:rRNA from 1 species